GACAGUAAAGUUUACUAAAGUAAAGUGAGUUAUUGCUUUGCCAUCAAUGUACAACAAUAAUGCUGCUAAUUCUUUGUCUGUGUGCGUUAACUAUGGAUCUAGAACAAGGAGGUGAUUAGCUUAGUUAGCAUAACAAGUGGAAGCAGAGGGAAACAGCAAGCCUGGCUGUAUCUAGCUAGUUGGCUAGCAUGACCAGGGGAAAUGACGUGCUGUAACUGUUUCUCAGCUCCUGGUUGUUGUUUGCCAUGACAAAAAGUAUGUAACUUUCUGUAAAACCACAAAUUCUUUCAUUUCUGUAUGUGUGUGGAUGACACAAAUGAGAUACAAUGUGUUAGUUAGUAAGCUUUAGAGGUGUAUUUUAUAACUUUAGAGACAAUUAUGCUAGCUGUCUAGCCCCUUCGUCCACUCUUUGGGACUUUCCAAAGCAAAGCUAAUCACCUUCAUGUUAGCUUCAUGCUAACAUGCAGAUAUCAUAAGACACAUAUGGAUAUUCUCCUCUAAAUCUUUUCUUAAAAUGUCAAACUAUUCUUUUAAUUUCAUAAUUUGCACAUUAUCUGGAUGCCGACAGUUUAAUAAAUUGAAAAUCAUGAAGGCUCUUUGUGCAAAACAACAAUAACAACAAUAAGUAUCCUGAGAUCGUUAAAUCUUUGACAUUUCUCAACUGAUCAAAGUUAAUUACAAAGUGAAUUGUGGGGAGUAAACAAUCUAGAGUGAACAGAUUCAUGAAGGAGACAAAGUAAAUUGAAGACAUCCGUUGUUGGAUGUGAACCUUUGCAUUUUCAAAUGUGAUUAACUUUUAGUGUGUUCCCAGCAUUUUCUUCAUCACAACAUCUGUGUUUAGUGUGUUUCUGUGUGACUGCAAUUUAUGACCACAACUCCACAGAGUUGAUGUUAAAGUAGCGAUUAGACCCCCAGCCCCCCAAGUAUGUGAGACCAUGCAAGAUCAAUUUGACAGGCAGUCAGUGACACACACAUAAACAUAUACAUACACAGGUGGUAGAUUACAUGUAAGCUAAACACCCUUGUAGGUUUUCUACAAAGGCAUAUACUAUAAAUCCCAAAAGCUGUAAACAAUUGCAACACUUGAUCUACAAACUUUACAGACUAGUGUUUGGACUAUUUCACAUGUAUGUAAGUCAUAGUUUAAUUCCAAACUUACAGCGAUUUUGUGGUUUGAGAUAAGAGCCAGAAGCCAUAUCGGCUUUACUCCCACAUACCUUUGCACGGUCUCCUUACUUUCUAACUUUUGCUGAAUCUGAGUGUGUAAGUGCUUAGGCCUCUUUUUCCAUUUAAUGAUGCCCUGGAUUGAGCCAUGGAAAAGCAAAGGAGAGUUUUUUAAACAGUGAGCUUAAAAUCCAGACACAAAGGCACCGAAUCCCUUUCUCCCCCAUAGACCUCCACCAUCUUAUGUGGAGUUAUCCAUGCAGAUGGAGCUUUUCACAGAUACAAGUCUCACUCUCUGCCACGCAUUCCUUUGUAGUUCCAUGUUGUCAAACGCUAGCUGAACCAGCCACUUAUCUGGUAACCAGUAGUUAUGGAGUAGUUACUUGACUAAAAUGAUUUGCACUCUUCUGUAAAACAUUUAAAGCCCAGUUCAGACCAACUAUUUGUUUGAGUUUAAAUUUACAAUGCUCUGAAACUUGCAUGUUUACACCAAUGUGUCUAGACAAGAAAGUGCAUCAUCUUACCCUCUGUACUUCUUUUCUAACUUCUGACUUUCCAGGCUUUUUUUGUAGCAGGAUAAUAUAUAUUGUAGCAUCUUAAAAUAUGAAUGAGGUUUAGUGAUAGUGAAAUGUUUUCUUUAUUAGCAUUUCUAGUACUGAUGAAACAGCUUAUUAUUGUUUUAUUUCUCUGAUUCAUUGCUUUGUUCAAAUUUCGCUCCCUGUCUUCAGUCACUCUCUAGCUAGCUUGACCACAUACCAUGCUCGCGGUCGCUCGUU